rnacentral:lncRNA from 1 species
AUAAUUCCUACUUUUCAAUUUCAAAAAUCCAGGGCAAAUUACAGUCCAUAAAGCUAUAAUGCAUAUGGCUUAAUGUGCUCUACAGUACUUUGUCAGUUUACUGUGUCUAUAUACAAGAAAAUUUACUUGUCAAGGGAGAAAUGUUGGGCAUUAAUGAGUUAAUUUCAGUAGUAAUUCACUGAGAUGAAAUUAUUAAUUCAAUUGCAUGCAAGAUUAGGAAAUAUCUUGCUUCGUCUGUUACUAUAAUCAGGAUGAUACCAUAUGUAACUAAAGGUUCAAGGUACUGUACUGUACAUUUACUGAAGUUCUAACAUUGUAAUAGUACUUGUUGUCUUUGACAAAUGUAUGUGGACAUUUAAAUUUGACAGUAACUUAAUGUGUCAAUGAUGCAUGGUUUGAAAACAAGUUGUAGAACUUUAUUUCUUGAAAUACAUGGCUAGUUGGUAUAAAAUAUAUUUCACAGAAAACUUUCUCGCGUACGUUUUGUAUUAGAUGAAGCAGUUGACUUAGUAUAAUUAGACUGAUUGCUAGGUUUCUCGAUACUUCCCCGUUUUACGAAGUAAUUGCAUUACGUCGUUAGAAAGCGUUCCGCGUAAACUAACGCUCUUGGCAGAUUUUACCUCGUUUUUUAAUUAUUUCUACGCAAUUUUUAAUGUUAUGAAAAUUGAGUGAUGUUUUUUCAUGGUUUUGGUUUUCAUAACAUUUAAAAUGUGUAAAAUAAUUAAAAAGAUGAGGAAAAGUCUUCAAGAGUGCCGGUUUAACUCCUGAAAUGGAGUUAAAAUUAUUUAACUCCUGAAUAGGGGUUAGAUUUUAACUCCAAUAUGAGAGUUAGAUUAACCCCAAAAGUGGAAUUACAUUUUAACCCCAGAAAUGGAGUUAUUUCUAACCCCAAAAAACGGAUUAUUUUGAACCUUUUUUGCUAACCCCCUUUUCCGGAGUUAUUUUAACUCCCUGAAAAUAACAGUGUAG